rfam:Termitomyces sp. J132 unplaced genomic scaffold scaffold317, whole genome shotgun sequence.
UGUCCCAUGGCUUAGUUGGUUACGGCGUCCGACUGUUAAGCUCUCACAUCGGAAGAUCGAGAGUUCAAGUCUCUCUGGGACAG